rnacentral:lncRNA from 1 species
CUAAAAAAGUCCCAUGUGGUCAGGAGUGGAGAGAGAAUUUAGUGGGAGGGGACAGCUUGAAAAAAAGGUUGCAAAUUCCUUUUGGGACCACACUUUGUACCCGCAGACUCUUCCUCUGAUGUGCUCAUUUAAUUUUUUCCUGAGCCAAAUUGAUACAUAUUUAUCCAGUACAGACUAUUUCUUUGAGUGAUAAAGACUUCCAUCAACAGUGGUUUUUAUUUUUUUAUGCAAAAGAGAAUAUCAUGCUCUGGAAGCGGCAAGGGGCAAAGCAGACCCCACUAGCCUCCUAAAACCGUCCUGGCUUGAUGUCAGUGUUUAUCUCUGACACGGUUAUCUCUUACAACAGCCAAAACUCCAUGUGUCCUAGGGGUUUCUUUCUUGAUUGAAUUUGGAUCAGAAAGCCACACUCACUUAACAGUCAUCCUAGUUCCUUG